rnacentral:rRNA from 1 species
UACGUAGGGGGCAAGCGUUGUCCGGAUUUAUUGGGCGUAAAGAGCGCGCAGGCGGUUUUGUAGGUCCGCUGUGAAAACUCGAGGCUCAACCUCGAGACGCCGGUGGAAACCAUCAGACUAGAGUCCGGAAGAGGAGAGUGGAAUUCCUGGUGUAGCGGUGAAAUGCGCAGAUAUCAGGAAGAACACCCGUGGCGAAGGCGGCUCUCUAGGACGGUACUGACGCUGAGACGCGAAAGCGUGGGGAGCGAACAGG